rnacentral:misc_RNA from 1 species
GAUGAAGAACGUAGCGAAAUGCGAUAAGUAGUGUGAAUUGCAGAAGUACCGUGAAUCAUCGAAUCUUUGAACGCAAAUUGCACUCUCUGGUAUUCCGGGGAGUAUGCCUGUUUGAGGGUCGCUUAACAAACCAUCGAUUUCGUUGCUUUUUUUUUAAAGUGAUGUUUAUCGGAUUUGAGCCGUCUUUUUUUUUAUAUUUAAGUGGCUUAAAAUUGAUUUUUUUGGUACGAUCGAAGCGUAUUUUUAUGAUCAAUUUUUGGUUAAAGAAACGCACACGUACCGUUAUUUAUAUGAUGUAAUACGUUUGACUAUUGGAUUUAGUUCAUUCGUAUACGAUAUCUUUCAAUAUUUGACCUCAAAUCAGGUAAGAACACUCGCUGAACUUAAGCAUAUCAAUAAGCGGAGGA